UAUCUCUGUAGAGUCUGCAUAUCAAUAAGCGGAGGAAAAGAAACUAACUAGGAUUCCCUCAGUACGGCGAGUGAAGCGGGAAGAGCUCAAAUUUGAAAUCUUCAAGGUUCUACCUUGACGAAUUGUAGUUUAAAGAAGUGUUUUCUGUUGGAGUUUUGGUAAAAGUUCUUUGGAAUAGGACAUCAUAGAGGGUGAGAAUCCCGUAUUUGACCAUUAUUUCCAGCUUUGUGAUACACUUUCAAAGAGUCGGAUUGUUUGGGAAUGCAGUCCAAAAUGGGUGGUAAAUUUCAUCUAAAGCUAAAUAUUGGCGAGAGACCGAUAGCGAACAAGUACCGUGAGGGAAAGAUGAAAAGAACUUUGAAAAGAGAGUUAAACAGUACGUGAAAUUGUCAAAAGGGAAGCGUUUGACACCAGUGUUGUUUUUCCGAAAAUCAAUUACGAAUGGCUUGAUUCUGUGUUGUAUUGACCUUAUCAGCUUUCUGCACUCUUUUCUGAGUCUUUUUAAUGCACUUUUCGGUUAACAAGUCAACAUCAAUUUCUUUUGUUGUAAAAGAGUCAUUGGAAGGUGGCUUUCUUUUCGGAGAAAGUGUUUAUAGCCUUUGCCUCUGCAAUCGGAGAGAUUGAGGUCUGCAGCGUAGAUCCUUCUGGAUUAGAUACAUUUGUGCUAAGUUAUAACCGUUUCAUAGACAACUUGUUGACUAUAUCGAUCAUGUAGCUUACUCGCUUAUGCUAUUUUACCUACGCUUAGGAUGUUGAAGAUGUAGCACAUCAU
rnacentral:rRNA from 1 species